GAUGAACGCUGGCGGCGUGCCUAAUACAUGCAAGUCGAGCGAACAGAUAAGGAGCUUACUCCUUUGACGUUAGCGGCGGACGGGUGAGUAACACGUGGGUAACCUACCUAUAAGACUGGAAUAACUCCGGGAAACCGGGGCCGUAAUGCCGGAUAACAUAUAGAACCGCAUGGUUCUAUAGUGAAGAUGGUUUUGCUAUCACUUAUAGAUGGACCCGCGCCGUAUUAGCUAGUUGGUAAGGUAAUGGCUUACCCAAGGCGACGAUACGUAGCCGACCUGAGAGGGUGAUCGGCCACACUGGAACUGAGACACGGUCCAGACUCCUACGGGAGGCAGCAGUAGGGAAUCUUCCGCAAUGGGCGAAAGCCUGACGGAGCAACGCCGCGUGAGUGAUGAAGGGUUUCGGCUCGUAAAACUCUGUUAUUAGGGAAGAACAUAUGUGUAAGUAACUGUGCACAUCUUGACGGUACCUAAUCAGAAAGCCACGGCUAACUGCGUG
rnacentral:rRNA from 1 species